UGAGAAGGAUAAGCCUGGCUGUUGGUGCUGUACCCCAGGGUGAGCUAGAUAAUGCUUCCUGGUCUCCAGUUAUGUUAGAAGCUUACUGAGUGGCACAUCAUUGGCUCUCCAUAUAUAUUUAAUGAAGAAUAAGUAUCGGCAUGUUCCAUUAUAAACUUUGUUGUGUUACCAGUUACUCUUCAUCUUGAUCCAAGAUGACAUCUUGUCUGCCCAGGGAAGUAGAUCAAAUCCUUCUAUAUUCUGGAAUCAGCCAAAAGAAAAAUGAGGAAAUGCAUUGACAUCAUCCUACAAAUCAUGAUUGAUUUCUGCUUUGGAACAGGAAGGGCUAAUUGGAUAAAGACACCCACUCUUGGUUAAUUCACUGUGGCUGGGGAGGUGGAGUCAUUUUUUUUUAAAUUCUGGAGUACACUCUAUGGAAUUGGGGUAAGUAAAAUUAAAGGGGAAAUUGUGAGCAAGGAAGGUACCCUACAAAGGGUCUACUACAUUUCAAUGGCUAAACAUUUUCUAGUUACUGGGGAUACAUUUCUUUGCCUAGGGGAAGAGAGCUCACAGCUUAGUGAAGAUAUACAACAAUAAACAGUCACCACUGCAACUGGGUAAGAGACUACAUAUGAUUUGCUGUGGGCAUAGAAGAAGCAGUUCAUUAAGUUUGGGGUAACUGGAGAACUUUACAGGAGAAAAGGAAUUUGAGCUGGGUUUGUAAAGACAAAUAUAAAUGAAAAUAAAUGAUUGUUGGCCAGUGCUCACUCAACAUCAUUGAUAGUAGGUUAUAUGGGGAAGCGUAUGAUUGUUACAGAUGAGAGAGUAUUUGACAGACAGAUGUCAACAGGAAUGGUUACUGGAUGUUAUGUUUUCUUAUUGGUAAACAAUAUGAAAUUUUAACAGUUAUAUAGAGCUGGAGCUACCAUAAUAUGCUUCUGGACUGAAGUGUGGCUUCCUGUAAAAAUCCUCCACAUAGGCACAGAAUUGUGGUUGCUAUCAUAUCCUCAGGAUUAUCCCAGGCAUGAGAAAGUUAUCCUUGCUAUUCUGCAGUUCUAGUUCUCUUAGGGCUUUUGUUUGCUUUUGUUUUUAAUGCUCUCUUUGCCAAUCCCAUCUCCACCCUUCUCUGUCAAGUUUGGAGACUGCCUCAUGCCUGCCUACCCAUUUAUGGAGAAAUUCGGUAAAAUAAAGAUAAAAUUUUCAAGAGCAUUCCUCAGUGUUUCUAGGCUUUCAGACUAUUUGAAGUCCAUUUCUGUAGGGUUAAUGACAGGAUUUGGAAGCGUGGGCUAAGGAGUUGGGAUUUUAUCUUCAAACAUAUAAAUGAGUGUUUCUUCACAAAUGUGAUAUAAAAUCCUGGGUCCUGAGAUACUCUCCUUGGAUAAAGAUUUUUGGUCAAGUAAGUUUGGAACUAUAUAAUACUAUUCCUCUCCUUUAUAAUGCAUAUUGUCAAAAUAAAAGCUCAUGAGAAUUUAUUCAAAGGAAAAACAGAGUACAAUGAGAAGCCUUCUAGUUUAAAAGAAAUGUAUAAUUUAUUUAUCCUUCAUUUACAUAUUUUCUUACAGUUUGAGAAAAGCCAAUAGAAAUAGUGGGGAGCUGUGAACUUUCUGAAACAUAGGUUUGGUUUUUCAUGAAGUUUUCACUCAGCCUGGAAUGCCAUC